GAACAAGUGCAGCCUCAGUCUUUUUCAGAAGGCUAGUACAUAUUACAAACCAGGAAACGAUUGUUGAAAUAUGUGCUAUGAUGCAGUUUCUGAAACACGGUUUCAUGGUUGGCCAUGAUAAGUGUCAAAUGUUUUCUCCUUUUUAUUCGGGGUCCAUUAGGGUCAUAGCUGAUGGUACCUUAUAAACAAAAUUUUCAGAACAGAUUGCAGCUUGUAUAAGAUAGACAGGUUUAGUUAGUAUCAUAUUUAAUCGAAAAGCAAAAUAAUCAUUUAACUAUUUACAUGUCUAGAUCCAAGGUUUGAGAAAUCAAUAAAGUGCCCUCCCUAGAAAUCACAGUGGAAGCAAGUAAAUAACCCAAGCUUGGUGUCGCACCACAAUAAAGAGGAUCAUAAAGGAAAAAAAUAGAGGGUCAUACAGAAUAAUCAGGAAUCUGUACACACAGCUUACUACAGUUUACUCAUGCUUCAGAAUCAAUCAACAUGCUUAAUGCCGCACCACAAUAAGUAGCACAUGGAUAUUCUAACUCACAGGACAACCUAUAUAAUGUCAUCUUGCCUUGCAUUUGCCCUCUCAUUGCAUCGACCACCAAGGUAACAUAAAAAAGCACGCCAACCAAGAUAAACCAAAUCAUGGACUUGGACAGGAAAAUCAAAGAGAGGGAAAACCUAUGGAUGGGUUAGAUAGCAAGUCGCUCGCGAGGGCGCCCAGGUCUAGCCGACAACACCCGGCCCCACACACAGUUCGGAAGCACUCUAGCACAUAAUCAGAUGGCAUGAAAGUACCAACAACGACCAACCAAACCGAAUAAUCCACAUGAAUGGUUGUGAAUGAAGGCAGAAUCAUAUGCAUCUCACAACUAACAAAUUUAACUGAUAAUUCAAGAUACUAAAGAUCUGCUCUACAUUUUCGACAGUGAAAAUAGUAAAGAUCUCGAAUGCAAUAAAACAACAAGGAAGCAAACAAGUUGCACAUGAUUUAAAUUACGUCGCGUAACUUCUAAAGUUUUCCCCUUAUAUGACAACCUUCUUCCCAGCAAGAGUCAUUACAGUAUUUAGAUAUCUUGUAUAAAAAAGAUCAAGAACUAAAAACUACAUUCGGCAAGACAUCCUCUCUACAAAAGGAAAUUCCCAGAGCAAACGUUAGCCGAUUCAGUGCAUAUCUCCAAGGCUCAUGUAAGGGAAUUGUCAAAAAGGAGUGAACUGGAUUGGAAGGAGCUGCAAUACCUAAGGAUCGGUUGGAGACUGCGAGGUCGACAAGGACGCCUAUCAAAGCAUGUUUCUUUUGUCAUAAGCUUUUAUUUUACUUCGUCAUGAAGCUGUGAAAAAAGCCAUCUCGGUAUG
rnacentral:lncRNA from 1 species